ensembl:lncRNA
CCAAUACCUCUGUCCUUUAGAAGCUCACAAACAUGGAUUACAUUAUCAAAACGGAUUGUAGCUGAGACAUAUUAGAAACAUCUACAUUUGUGUCAAAUUUUACAGAAAACUUUUAUGCAAAAUUUAAUUCUCCCAGUUCCACUCACUUUUCCUCUUCAUCAUUUCAUAAAAACUUUCCCAUCUUUCUCUGAAAUUGUCCCUGUCUUUUAUUUCUUCUAGUACAACAAUAUUCCAUUUGUUCAAUCAUUUCCCAAGUGAUGUCAUCUUUUUAAUCUCCAGUUCUCAGCAGUUAGAAAAAAACUGGUAUAAAUGUUUUUGUAUAUAUAAGAUUUAAAAAGUAGUUGUUAAAUAUAUAUAUAUAUAUAUAUAUAUAUAAAUAUACAUACAAUACACACACACACACACACACACACAUAUAUAUUUAGCUACAAUGGAGAAAAAAGAAGAUCCGAGAAGGGAUAGGCUUGCCAAGGGGACAGAUGAGACAAUGUUAUCUGAUGACAGAAAGAACUAAGAGACAUUUUGCCCUGCAAAUGAUUAAUAGGCUAAAUCAGGAUAAAUAAGGUACCAGUAGGGGAGCACUGCUGAUGAAAUCCCACUGGACCAAAUCACUAAAUUCUUAAACUGACAGAUGAGACUGCAAAGCCCUCCACUCUUGAUCCUUAAUAGACUUUGGGACAUGGAGGAAGUGUGGUAGUACUAGAGAAAGACAAAUGUACUGAUUGUCCUUCCCCCCACCCCACCACUCCCCCCCAAAAAGUGAAAGAGAACAAUGUGCAAACCAGAGCCCGGUCACAUUAAUUUCAAUUUUUGGGAAGACUCUAGAACAGAUCACUAAAUCUAGAUCAUUAAAGAUUAUUAUCUUUAAAGAUCAUUAAAGAGAUGGCUAGUGAAUAUUCAGAAAAGGAAAACAUUUCUAGAGAUCUUGCAUGAUGUCACAUCAAAAGUAGGUCAUACCACAGCUAUGACGAGUCUCAGACUCACAUAGACAGUACAGAGAGAUAGAUAAAUAGAUGGAUAGAUGGAUGAAUGGAUGGAUGGAUACCCAAUACCAUGUGAGAGUAGGCUGUGUAGAAAAUGGGGCAGAGGUAGGGGCACUAGCAGAGUCUCUUCUCUCCCAUCAUGGAAAGUCCAAGAAAGUAAGUAAGCUUCUCAACAUGGUCACCAGAGAAGGGGGUGGAGGGACAAAGAGGAACAAAUAAAAUCUUUCCCAAUGACAGACUUCCAGCUGUUUAAGACAGUGAUCAUACUUAUUCUCCUACCACCUCAAGCUUUUAGCUUAUUAGAACAGCACUAAAACACUCUACCCUCUAGUUUUGUUUCUUCCUAUCCAUGCCAAAGGGCAUAAAGAUCAAUCUCUCCCACCACCCUAAGCAGACAGCACCCCCCCUCCAUACACACAUACACACAUCCCUUCUGUUCCUCUCUCUGCAAACCUCUUCUGUUUCCUGCAGCCCAAAGCUGGGGCAGAAGAGUUUGAAGGGAAGCUUGAAAGUACCCUAAAUUGUCCCACGGUGAGCACAGGGGACAGAACACCUGGACCAAGUUCUGCCCUAGCCUUGUGUACUUACUAGAUAUGGGAUCAUGAGUACGACACAAAAUCCCAAAAUCUCCAUAGUUUCCCCUUCUUUUCUUCUUCUUGAAGGAACUGGAGUCAAAUGCCAGAGGCUGGAUUUGAAUUCAGGUUUUCCAGACUCCAGAGCCAGUACUAUCUCCCUGCUUCAGGAAACUGCAAGAUGGGGAUAAUUUCACUACCUCACUGGUUUGUUCUGAGGAAAGUGGUUUGCAAAUCUUCGUGUUACAUAAUGAGUUAAUGUUAUAGAACAUAUGAUUUAGAAAGGAUUUAGAUAUAGAGAUUAUAACCCCUGAGAGCCUAGAUCUCUUGCCAUCUGAGCAUCUGAACCCAAUCCCAGUCCCCAACCUCUUCAGUACCAACUACACGGGGGAGGGGAGGAAGGAAUCAAAUAAUAUCACCUAAAGCACUUUAUGGUUUGAAAAAUACUUUACAUAUAUAAUGUGUGUACAUAUGUAUAUACUAUCCUCAUAUCCUCAAACUUUCUGAAGUUUUAAGCUUAAAACUUUGAGGACAUCCCAUAUUAUUUCAUUUGAUCUUCACAACCACCAUAUGAGGUAGGUGCUAUGAUUAUCUUCAUUUUAUAGAUAAAGAAAUUGAGGUUAACAUAAAGUGAUUUGCCCAGGGUUCAAAUUAGUCAGUGUCUGAGGUAGGAUUCAAAUGUGUCUCCUCGACUCCGGGUCCGUCUCUCUAUUAUAUUUCCGGCUAUUAAACCCCAAAUUUGUGGGGAAGGGGGAUUGGGUGAAUCAAAGAUAUCUCAACCCUCCACACCCAUUGAGUCUCUAUCCCUCUGGACCUAGUCCUGAGUCUUACACAGCCUAGUCUCAGCGCCGACAUCUUAAGGUGAGAAAAUCCAAACAAUUUUCAGUUUAUUAUGGCAAAUAAAUUCUCUUCUUUAUCGUCUCUGAAUCAAUUAAUAUUUGUUAACAUUAACUGUCUGCGCGUCAGGCAGUGGCCAAGGACAAAAGCGAGACAAUUGCUAUUCUCCAGAAGUUCGCGCCUGUGUGCGUUUAUAUGUGUGACCCAGGUAGCAGACGUGGGUUCGCGCACAUGUUCAUACGCACCCACAUGCAAAUGUAUGCACAAUGAGGGUGGUUCUGUCACGUAGAGGUAAGCAUAUGGGUACGUGUCACAAGCACGCACAGCUUCCUUGCCAAGGAGGCCGGGGAGGUCCCGCUGCCGCGGAGCCUGGUGACCGGUACAGGACAGGCCCCGCUCUCUGGUUUAUCGCCGAUAUUCUAUAACCGGUUCUGGUCAUUUAAUCGGGUGGGUGGGGGGGGGGGGGGGAACUGAUGGUGUAGGUUAAACGGGCGCACACUCAAAAGGCACCGACAACUGGGCGGGAGGCCGCUCUUCCUCCUUGCCUGUAUCUCUCCCAGGAAAACGGCAAAAUCCCUGGGAAGCCGAGACGGGGAGCGAGCCCUGAGAACACGGCGCACACAAGGAGACGCACCCACCGGCGCGCGCGGUGUGGGCGGACUCCCGGUAUGACUAGAACGGCAGGGAGUCAGACUCACUGAGCCUCGCUGCGCUCUCCUUCCGGCGCUGCUGGUUCCGCGCUCCACUGAAUGCAGGAUUCGGACUAGGUCAGAGUCCCGUUUAGUUAAUUACGUGCCCUCUCAGAAGGCGCCGGGCGGCGGGAAUGUGGCUGAAAAAGGAAGGACGGGGAUCGAAAACUCCCAAGGCCAGGAGCGCGUCCGUGUUUGUAGGCAUAGCCUGGAUGCCGGUCUGGCCCGGCCCCGCCCCCGUCCGUUGGCGGGAACAUCAGUCUGCGAGUGUUCUAUGCCGGGUCACACGGAGCGCCCCUCUAGACCUCGGGUGCGAGGACCUACUUCAGUGCUCCCAAGGGGCGUGGUCAGCCCGGUGCUAUGCUGCGACCCCUUGAGGGUUUUCCUAGCAAAGCUCCUGGAGUGGUCUGUCGUUCCUUCUCCAGCUCAUUUUACAGAUGAAAUUGAAAGAGAGUUAGAUGAAUUGCCCAGGGUCACACAGCUAAGUAGUGUUAAGCGGCCACAUUUGAAUUCAGGAAGAGGAGUCUUCCUGAUGCGGGAUCCUGCUGACUGACUCCACUGUGGCCCCUACUAGUUGAGAGGAGCGGGAGGAGCUUUGUACCGACACCUCCGAUCCAGGAGGGGACGCUGUGGCCGACUCUAUCCCUUCCUUCCCCUCCUUUCCCUAUUUUGCGCUUGCCCAGACCAGGCGGAAGUGACGCUGUGAGCUUUGCAUUAUAAACCAUCCCGCGGGCUUUCGUCCUUCCUUUCACAGCUGCAGCCAUGGAGUUCGUUUUGUUUUUCCGGUGUUCUGCCUCUAGUCGCUCGAGACCAGCCGGGCUUCCCAGGCUCUGGAGUCGCCGGCGACUUGAGCCUCCGUGAGUUUUCUCGCCGCGCAGGACCAGCGAGAGUUGAAUCGGGCCUUUGCCGUGGUGGCUGGCCUUUCUGCAGUAGCGGGAGCCUGGCUUUCGGGAAGUCCACGUGGACCGCAGGUUUGCCUUUUUAUCCUACCGCGUUCUUCGAAUGACCCUUCAUCUACAACGGACUGCUCCUUGGAACUGGACUCUAGCCUGCAUUUGUGAAAGACCACAAAACGCCAAGAAAAAUAAAAUUCAUGCUUGCUAAUGCUUCCCAGGGACUCUUGCCUCUUCUGCAUUGUUAAAAAAGAAUGAACAAGAACAGAUGUUAAGAAGCCUGGUCAUGAAGGAUCAUAUUUAAAAGCAUUGGUUCCUGUUGUAUCACCAUGGUAGACAAGAGGAUUACCUGGGUCUUAAGUCUCCUGUCCUCUGAAAAACCUCAGAGGCUUUGGUUUCUAAGAAAGAAAAGCUUCUGUCUUAGCUGACCUGCUAGUUAUUCACUGCUCCUCACUUUGGACUGAGAUUCUAGGGCUAAAGGAAUAUUUUUAAAGGAACCUGAUUUUAUCUCCCACUUCCAAGAAGUACCUGUUUCCUUAUGGCUUCUAGUACUUAUAGACUUCUGUUACUGCAUGUUCAUUGUUGUUCUUUACCAUCCUUUCUUAGCUUUCUUUACAUUACAUUUCCAUUUGUAAAUUCAGGACCCAAAUACGCUAUCAUAAAUAACAGCUAUUUAUUGGGUCGUUUUCUCUGCCAAUAAACAUUUAAGGCUUUAAUGACUAGAAUCUCCAUCCUAGGAUAAGCCCUGGUAAGCUUGCAUCUGACUUACACUGCUAUUUAUUUCCAUUUGGAAAUGCUUUGGUGGCAACAGUUUUGGAAAAACUGGGCUGCGGACCUUAGUUUGACUUGUGUUUAACAGUAUUAUUUGCUAAAUAAAUUCUA